CUUUUUCUUUCACCGGAGCUUGCUCCACCGAAAGAAAAGGAGUGGCGAACGGGUGAGUAACACGUGGGUAACCUGCCCAUCAGAAGGGGAUAACACUUGGAAACAGGUGCUAAUACCGUAUAACAAUAGAAACCGCAUGGUUUCUAUUUGAAAGGCGCUUUUGCGUCACUGAUGGAUGGACCCGCGGUGCAUUAGCUAGUUGGUGAGGUAACGGCUCACCAAGGCAACGAUGCAUAGCCGACCUGAGAGGGUGAUCGGCCACAUUGGGACUGAGACACGGCCCAAACUCCUACGGGAGGCAGCAGUAGGGAAUCUUCGGCAAUGGACGAAAGUCUGACCGAGCAACGCCGCGUGAGUGAAGAAGGUUUUCGGAUCGUAAAACUCUGUUGUUAGAGAAGAACAAGGAUGAGAGUAAAAUGUUCAUCCCUUGAC
rnacentral:rRNA from 1 species